CCUACGGGUGGCAGCAGUGGGGAAUAUUGGACAAUGGGCGAAAGCCUGAUCCAGCCAUGCCGCGUGUGUGAAGAAGGCCUUCGGGUUGUAAAGCACUUUCAGUGGGGAAGAAAGCCUUGGGGCUAAUACCCUCGAGGAAGGACAUCACCCACAGAAGAAGCACCGGCUAACUCCGUGCCAGCAGCCGCGGUAAUACGGAGGGUGCGAGCGUUAAUCGGAAUUACUGGGCGUAAAGCGCGCGUAGGCGGUCUGAUAAGCCGGUUGUGAAAGCCCCGGGCUCAACCUGGGAACGGCAUCCGGAACUGUCAGGCUAGAGUGCAGGAGAGGAAGGUAGAAUUCCCGGUGUAGCGGUGAGAUGCGUAGAGAUCGGGAGGAAUACCAGUGGCGAAGGCGGCCUUCUGGACUGACACUGACGCUGAGGUGCGAAAGCGUGGGUAGCAAACAGGAUUAGAUACCCCAGUAGUC
rnacentral:rRNA from 1 species